rfam:Picea glauca, whole genome shotgun sequence.
AUGUAGAUGCCUACAACAUAGCGUUAAUGCACCAGAUCCCAUUAGAAAUAUGCAGUUAAGCACGCUCAGGCUAGAGUAGUAUUGGGAUGGGUGACCUCCCGGGAAGUCCUAGUGUUUUACAUG